rnacentral:rRNA from 1 species
AUACGGAGGUUGCAAGCGUUGUUCGGAAUUACUGGGCGUAAAGCGCGCGUAGGCGGUCUGUUAUGUCAGAUGUGAAAGUCCUCGGCUCAACCGGGGAAGUGCAUUUGAGACUGGCAGACUUGAGUACUGGAGGGGGUGGUGGAAUUCCCGGUGUAGAGGUGAAACUCGUAGAUAUCGGGAGGAAUACCGGUGGCGAAGGCGACCACCUGGCCAGAUACUGACGCUGAGGUGCGAAAGCGUGGGGAGCAAACAGGAUUAGAAACCCCGGUAGUCC